UACGUAGGGUGCGAGCGUUGUCCGGAAUUAUUGGGCGUAAAGAGCUCGUAGGCGGCUUGUCGCGUCGGAUGUGAAAGCCCGGGGCUUAACUCCGGGUCUGCAUUCGAUACGGGCAGGCUAGAGUGUGGUAGGGGAGAUCGGAAUUCCUGGUGUAGCGGUGAAAUGCGCAGAUAUCAGGAGGAACACCGGUGGCGAAGGCGGCCAUCUGGACCGGCACUGACGCUGAGGCGCGAAAGCGUGGGGAGCAAACAGG
rnacentral:rRNA from 1 species